UGGUGCCGGGAUUUGAUCCCGGACAUCUGCCAUGCGAGGCGAGCGUGUUACCACUACUCCACGC
rnacentral:tRNA from 11 species